CUUCGGAGGAGUUAGCGAAAUUCCAAUGUUUGCGGAUCGGCAAAAAAUGCGAAAUAACCCUUUAACCGUAAUUUUGACAGAUACGGCCGCACUGACUUUUUUGUAGAUCUUAUUAAGAUACAUAUGUGUGUCAAUUUUUGUGUCAAUAUGACAAAGCGUACAGGCGUGACAGUCAAUAGUGUGAAUUUCCACCUUAGGGGGCGCUAUGGAGCCAUUUUGCAUUUUAUUGUUUGGGCGACUUCAGAAUAUCGAAUUUUUCACCAGGCCCGGUCGUCCUGCCAAAUUUCAUGAGUUUUCGCCAGUGGGAAGUGGGCCAUUUUCCAGUUCAAAGGGGAGGAAAAAGAAGAAACUAGGGCCCCGUUGGGGCACUGGCGGGCCCGAGC
rnacentral:lncRNA from 1 species